UAUUCAAGGCGCAAAGUCAUCAUAAUUUGGAUGAGAAACAUGUGGAUAUAUAUAACGUAGAGAGACCAAAUGGACAUACAUAUGCAUAAUGCAAGCUGAUGUGGAUGCACGAGUUCCUCUACAGUAACUACAUUUAUUCCCGCUGGCUUAGAUAUAUGUAUGAUGGAUGGAGACUUAAAUAUGAAAUUAACUAUACACAGCAUAAGCUGGAUCACAGAUCAAAUUCAAUUAACUGGCAAGUCAUCCAUUAAAUACAGUUUUGUUUCUA
rnacentral:sRNA from 15 species